rnacentral:rRNA from 1 species
AUUGAACGCUGGCGGCAUGCUUUACACAUGCAAGUCGAACGGUAACAGGGUGCUUGCACCGCUGACGAGUGGCGAACGGGUGAGUAAUGCGUCGGAGCGUGCCGAGUAGCGGGGGAUAACGCAGCGAAAGUUGUGCUAAUACCGCAUACGUACUGAGGUAGAAAGUGGGGGACCUUCGGGCCUCACGCUAUUCGAGCGGCCGACGUCUGAUUAGCUAGUAGGUGAGGUAAAGGCUCACCUAGGCGACGAUCAGUAGCGGGUCUGAGGGGAUGAUCCGCCGCACUGGGACUGAGACGCGGCACAGACUCCUACGGGAGGCAGCAGUGGGGAAUUUUGGACUAUGGGCGAAAGCCUGAUCCAGACAUGCCGCGUGUCUGAAGAAGGCCUUCGGGUUGUAAAGGACUUUUGUCAGGGAGGAAAUCCCUAGUGCUAAUAACACUGGGGGAUGACAGUACCUGAAGAAUAAGCACCGGCUAACUACGUGCCAGCCGCCGCCGUAA